AGUCAUGUAUCAGCGGAUCAGCGCACUGUGGUGCACCUGCUUCCUGUCAGUUUCGAUACUCGCUGACCUUCCGGCACGUGCUGCCACUCGGUGAGACGCGAGAGCAGGAAACGUGUGACCGCUCGGUGCCUUUCAUAGUCACUCUCGUUUUCAAUAUUCUUUCUUAUCGAUCACGAUAUUUGCUUUCACGUUAUUGGACCUUUGAUAUGUCGUUUGUGUCUUCUCUGCGUUCUCUUGUACCUUGCCUUCCCAAGCCCUUUUUGUUGUAUGGAUUGUUUUUUUUUUCUGGCUCCUUGUGGCCAGGCAAGCAAAUAGCGCUCAUAAAUUUGCUUGUUUUGACUGUGAUUAAAGUACAGAUUAGGAUAAAAAA